rnacentral:rRNA from 1 species
GCGGGUGAAAAGCCCGCUCGCCGGAAGACCAAGGGUUCCUGUCCAACGUUAAUCGGGGCAGGGUGAGUCGACCCCUAAGGCGAGGCCGAAAGGCGUAGUCGAUGGGAAACGGGUUAAUAUUCCCGUACUUGGUGUUACUGCGAAGGGGGGACGGAGAAGGCUAUGUUGGCCGGGCGACGGUUGUCCCGGUUUAAGCGUGUAGGUGUGUGUUCCAGGUAAAUCCGGUUCACUUUAACACUGAGGCGUGAUGACGAGGCACUACGGUGCUGAAGCAACAAAUGCCCUGCUUCCAGGAAAAGCCUCUAAGCAUCAGGUAACAUCAAAUCGUACCCCAAACCGACACAGGUGGUCAGGUAGAGAAUACCAAGGCGCUUGAGAGAACUCGGGUGAAGGAACUAGGCAAAAUGGUGCCGUAACUUCGGGAGAAGGCACGCUGACACGUAGGUGAAGUGAUUUACUCACGGAGCUGAAGUCAGUCGAAGAUACCAGCUGGCUGCAACUGUUUAUUAAAAACACAGCACUGUGCAAACACGAAAGUGGACGUAUACGGUGUGACGCCUGCCCGGUGCCGGAAGGUUAAUUGAUGGGGUCAGCGCAAGCGAAGCUCCUGAUCGAAGCCCCGGUAAACGGCGGCCGUAACUAUAACGGUCCUAAGGUAGCGAAAUUCCUUGUCGGGUAAGUUCCGACCUGCACGAAUGGCGUAAUGAUGGCCAGGCUGUCUCCACCCGAGACUCAGUGAAAUUGAACUCGCUGUGAAGAUGCAGUGUACCCGCGGCAAGACGGAAAGACCCCGUGAACCUUUACUAUAGCUUGACACUGAACAUUGAGCCUUGAUGUGUAGGAUAGGUGGGAGGCUUUGAAGUGUGGACGCCAGUCUGCAUGGAGCCGACCUUGAAAUACCACCCUUUAAUGUUUGAUGUUCUAACGUGGACCCGUAAUCCGGGUUGCGGACAGUGUCUGGUGGGUAGUUUGACUGGGGCGGUCUCCUCCUAAAGAGUAACGGAGGAGCACGAAGGUUGGCUAAUCCUGGUCGGACAUCAGGAGGUUAGUGCAAUGGCAUAAGCCAGCUUGACUGCGAGCGUGACGGCGCGAGCAGGUGCGAAAGCAGGUCAUAGUGAUCCGGUGGUUCUGAAUGGAAGGGCCAUCGCUCAACGGAUAAAAGGUACUCCGGGGAUAACAGGCUGAUACCGCCCAAGAGUUCAUAUCGACGGCGGUGUUUGGCACCUCGAUGUCGGCUCAUCACAUCCUGGGGCUGAAGUAGGUCCCAAGGGUAUGGCUGUUCGCCAUUUAAAGUGGUACGCGAGCUGGGUUUAGAACGUCGUGAGACAGUUCGGUCCCUAUCUGCCGUGGGCGCUGGAGAACUGAGGGGGGCUGCUCCUAGUACGAGAGGACCGGAGUGGACGCAUCACUGGUGUUCGGGUUGUCAUGCCAAUGGCACUGCCCGGUAGCUAAAUGCGGAAGAGAUAAGUGCUGAAAGCAUCUAAGCACGAAACUUGCCCCGAGAUGAGUUCUCCCUGAGACUUAAAGUCUCCUGAAGGAACGUUGAAGACGACGACGUUGAUAGGCCGGGUGUGUAAGCGCAGCGAUGCGUUGAGCUAACCGGUACUAAUGAACCGUGAGGCUUAACCUUACAACGCCGAAG